UGGCGAUAGGAAAUCUAAUGUUGAAGUUAGAGCGGAUUAUUUUUAUGAGUGAAAAUGAAAACAACCUCUUCUGUAAGUGCGGAGUGGAAACUCACAACAGACUCGUAACAGGAAGAAAAAAAAACCCUAAGCACAUCGAGUCUGGAUAAAUUCCAACCAGUUGAGCCUGUAGAUCCAUCCAAGUGUAGACUCAAUGAGCCUAACUCAUACAAACACAGCCCCAUUUGAACCAGGAGCCUGCUGUGCAGCCUGAACAUGUGCGGCUGACCCCUGAGGAGAGUCACUCUCUCUCAGCCUCUGAUGUGGAAUGAGACGUUUUUAUCUACAUACACUGUGGGUCGCCAUCAAUGGAGUCUGCUAUGUUGAACCGCCAUGUUUCUAUAAACAGUUUUACAGUCACAUUUUCUCCUACACACUCCCAGCUCAUCAAAUACAGACGCCAGCAGUGUUUAAUCAGUUGGAAUCAGCAACUGCACCACUAGAUGUGACUAAAUCCUACAUCCUGGUCCUUUAAUAAUCACUAUAGCUUCAUAUAUAUAUAUAUAUAUAUAUAUAUAUAUUAAAUGAGUCAUAAUUUUAAGAUACCAUGAUGCAAUAAACUGAACUGGUGACCUGUGGAGGGGGUACCUCACCUCUCACACAAUGUCAGCUGGGAUCAGCUCAAGCCAUCCGGCGAACCUCCAAAGUAUAAGAGGUUAUAAAUAAUAGAUGGAUGGAUGAAGCAAUAACUAAUUUCACUGCAGUAUUCUGUAGUUAUUAUUAAUCGGUACUCAGUAAUUUAAAAGAUACGCUCCGAGUACAUACUUAAUUGUAUUAUGUAAUUUGUGGGCUCCAUUACAAGUAAAAGUAUUAUCAGAAAUAUAUACUUACAAAAGUGAUGUCAAUCAUAGUGUUUUAUAUAUAUUAUAGGAUUAUUGUUAGUAAUUUAUUAAGGCGUGAGCAGCAUUUCUGUUGUAGCUGGUUAAGGUGGAGCUGAUUUUAACAGCUUUAUAGUCGAGUGUUGGGCUGUUUAAAUCUGCAAAGAAACACAAUUGUAUAAAAAUAAUUUAUGUUAAUAAUUGAGUCCUGAACCUGUAGUCUGAAUAUUUAAACCUGUUUAAAAAAAAGAAAGAAUAAAAAGGUACCAUUGCUCCGUAAAAAGUUGAUUUGUAUUAAAAUAUUGCCCCUAGUUACCAUUUUAGACUAAAUUGACUUGAAAAUAUGCAAAAUAAAACUAGUAACUGCAGAGUAAAAGGUACAAUAUUACUGAAAUGUAGUGGAGUUAAAGCAUAAUGUUUGUACAUUCGUUACAUACAAUAGCUCAAUACUAAAGUAAAGUAAUGUAUUUCAUGGUCAGGUUGCCAUCUUAUCUAACGGGAAAUUACCUUUUCAGCUUCCUGUGGAGUCAGCCCGAUUCUACAGGAAGCCCUCCCAAAAUCUACCUAAUGGUGUUUUCAGUGUCAUAAAAUAAAAAAGGUGCUCUCA